GACGAACGCUGGCGGCGUGCCUAAUACAUGCAAGUAGAACGCUGAAGAGAGGAGCUUGCUCUUCUUGGAUGAGUUGCGAACGGGUGAGUAACGCGUAGGUAACCUGCCUGGUAGCGGGGGAUAACUAUUGGAAACGAUAGCUGAUACCGCAUAAAAUUGAUUAUUGCAUGAUAAUUAAUUGAAAGAUGCAACUGCAUCACUACCAGAUGGACCUGCGUUGUAUUAGCUAGUUGGUGAGGUAACGGCUCACCAAGGCGACGAUACAUAGCCGACCUGAGAGGGUGAUCGGCCACACUGGGACUGAGACACGGCCCAGACUCCUACGGGAGGCAGCAGUAGGGAAUCUUCGGCAAUGGGGGGAACCCUGACCGAGCAACGCCGCGUGAGUGAAGAAGGUUGUCGGAUCGUAAAGCUCUGUUGUAAGAGAAGAACGGGUGUGAGAGUGGAAAGUUCACACUGUGACGGUAUCUUACCAGAAAGGGACGGCUAACUACGUG
rnacentral:rRNA from 1 species